GGGACCACAGUGUCCUUGAAACGUUUGCACCAUGACCUGGACUCCUCUCCUCCUCCUGCUCCUCCUCAGUCUCUGCCCAGGGUCCAGUUCUCAGAUUGUGGUGACCCAGGAGCCAUCACUGUCAGUGUCUUCAGGAGGGACGGUCACAUUCACCUGUGGCCUGAGCUCUGGGUCAGUCUCUACUGGCAACUACCCCAGCUGGCACCAGCAGACCCCAGGCAAGGCUCCCCGCACGCUCAUCUACCACACAAACACCCGGCCCUCUGGGGUCCCUGAGCGCUUCUCCGGGUCCAUCUCUGGGAACAAGGCCGCCCUCACCAUCACGGGGGCCCAGCCUGAGGACGAGGCCGACUAUUACUGUGUUACAGAGCAUGGCAGUGGGAGCAGCUACAAUAUCUCACAGUGGCUCAGAUGA